rnacentral:rRNA from 1 species
GUCCACGCCCUAAAACGUUGAUUACUCGUUGUUGGCGAUAUACAGUCAGCGACCAAGCUAAAGCGUUAAGUAAUCCACCUGGGAAGUACGACCGCAAGGUUGAAACUCAAAGGAAUUGACGGGGCCCGCACAAGCGGAGGAGCAUGUGGUUUAAUUCGAUGAUACGCGAGGAACCUUACCUGGGCUUGAAAGUUAGUGUCUUUCUGUGAAAGCAGAAUUCUCUUCGGAGCACAAAACUAGGUGCUGCAUGGCUGUCGU